rnacentral:rRNA from 1 species
GGAUUAGGCAUGCAAGUCGAACGAGGAUAUGUCCUUCGGGAUGUAAACCGAGUGGCGCAAGGGUGAGUAAUGCAUAGAUUACCUACCUUUAGGAUAAGGACAACUUUGUGAAAACGAAGCUAAUACUUAAUAAUACAAAAGAAAAUAAUUUUCAUUUGUCAAUGGGAGGGUAGCAAUACCUUUUGCCUAAAGAGGGGUUUAUGUCCUAUCAGCUUGUUGGUGGGGUAAUGGCCUACCAAGGCGAAGACGGGUAGCCGGUCUUAGAGGAUGGUCGGCCACACUGGGACUGAGACACUGCCCAGACUUCUACGGAAGGCUGCAGUCGAGAAUCUUUCGCAAUGCCCGAAAGGGUGACGAAGCGACGCCGCGUGAGUGAGGAAGGCCUUCGGGUUGUAAAGCUCUGUCAGGAGUUAAGAAAUAUAAGUGUGCUAAUACCGCAUUUAUUUGACAAAAGCUCCAAAGGAAGCCACGGCUAACUCUGUGCCAGCAGCCGCGGUAAUACAGAGGUGGCAAGCGUUGUUCGGAAUUAUUGGGCGUAAAGAGCACGUAGGUGGGUUUGUAAGUCAGAUGUGAAAGCCUUCUGUUCAACGGAAGAAUUGCAUCUGAAACUGCAAAUCUUGAGUGUAGGAGGGGAGAAUGGAACUUCUGGUGGAGCGGUGAAAUGCGUAGAUAUCAGAAGGAACGCCGGCGGCGAAAAGCGAUUCUCUGGCCUAUUACUGACACUCACUGUGCGAAAGCUAGGGGAGCAAACGGGAUUAGAUACCCCGGUAGUCCUAGCCGUAAACGAUGGGCACUAAGUAGAGGGAAUUACCGAUGUUCUCUCUGCCGUAGCUAACGCAUUAAGUGCCCCGCCUGGGGAGUACGGCCGCAAGGCUAAAACUCAAAAGAAUUGACGGGGGCUCGCACAAGCGGUGGAGCAUGUGGUUUAAUUCGAUGCAACGCGAAAAACCUUACCGGGGCUUGACAUGGUAGAAGUAGGAACCCGAAAGGGUAACGAACGGUAUCCAGUCCGUAACUAUCACAGGUGUUGCAUGGCUGUCGUCAGCUCGUGUCGUGAGACGUUGGGUUAAGCCCCCUAACGAGCGAAACCCUUGUUUUUAGUUACCAGCGGG